GGGACUUAGUGGUUAGAGCGCUUGCCUCGGAUACUAGAGGUCGUGGGUUCAAUCCCCGGUCGAAUCA